ensembl:lncRNA
UUUGAAAGUCACCUUGAUGUUGCAUCUGUGUGUUUUAUCAGUUUCUUUAUGAAAAUAUAUAGUGAACUCCAUGACAGUAGCUAAAGCAAGGGGCUAUUAGCAGCACACAAGUAGACUAGAAGUGCAUGCUGGGAUGGGCUGGCCUGAGCUCGAGUGAGAGCUACUGGAGCGAAAUUGCCUUUUUAGGAAUCUCACUCUGUACUCCAGUCAAAUUGGGCACCUUUUGCUCCUCGCUCCAGCGCCGCUCCGCUCACAUACUAUGGUCCAAAUAGAAUAGCUGUCACGUUUGUUUAAAGAUGGAUUGGACCAAGGUGCAGUGUGGUAGGCAUACAUUUUACUUUUAUUUAAAUGACACCGAAAAAAAAAAAAAAAUACAAAAACAAACGUAAAGCUACAUGCCGUGCAGAAAGCAACUACACACAAACAAAAUCCCACAAAUUAAAGGUGGAAAAAAUGCUGCCUAAGUAUGAUCCCCAAUCAGAGACAACGAUAGACAGCUGCCUCUGAUUGGGAACCAUACCCGGCCAACAAAGAAAUAGAAAAACUAGAAUGCCCACCCAAAUCACACCCCGACCUAACCAAAUAGAGAAAUAAAAAGGCUCUCUAAGGUCAGGGCGUGACAGUAGCUGUCGCUAGGUCACAUCACAGCACUUUAGGAAUCUUUAUUGUGGCACUAACUGAUACUUUCAUAUUUCGCUAUUGUUGUCAUUAUUAUAUUUUUCCUGCCUUACAUUCUGCACAUUUGAAGAGAGACAUGAAUGCAUCUUGUAAGCACUAUAAUGAGUCUACUCCCUCCUACAGUAUGAAUGGCUGGGAAUCAAACAUCUUAGAAAAUACAGUACAACCUGACGACCCAGUGACACAUGGUAUUUCUAAAGCUGCCCACUAAAAAUUCCCUUCCUACCCUCCUGACCUCAACUACUGUGCACUACUACAGGGGCUGCAGGACUAGUGCACUACUACAGCGGCCAUAGGACUAGUGCACUACUACUACUACUACUACAGGGGCCAUACGACUCUGGUCAAAAGUAGUUUACUAUAGAGGGAAUAGGGUGCCAUUUGGGAUGCAUGUCCAAGUCACUACACCUUUCUACAUGACUGAAAGAGAGGCUCGAUGGCGUGGGUGGACUGUGAAUCUGUGCCCUAAGACCCUCCCCCUCCUGCCCCUCCUCCCCCACCUACCCAUCCUCCCCUUACCAACCCUCAUGCCCACACGACCCUCCUGAAUCUCCUGCACCUUUUCCCCCUCCUGCCCCUUCUGCCCCUCCUGUCCCUCCUCUCCCUCCUGACCUUCUUCCAUCACCUGACCCUCCUUCCCUUCCUGCCCCUCCUUCCCCUCUUGACUCUCCUCCACCUCUGCCCCCUCCUUCUCCUUCUGCUCCCCGACCCUCCUCCCUCUCCUGACCCUCUUCCCUCUUUUGACUCUCCGGACCCUCGUCCCCCUCCUGACCCUUUUGACCUCAUCCCCCUGACCCUCCUGACCCUCCUCCUUCUCCUGACCCUUCUGCUAACCCGACCAUCCUGCCCCUCCUGCCCCUCCUGCCCCCCAACUCUCCUCCAUCUCCUCCCCCUUCUCCUCCUGCCCCCUGCCCCUCCUCCCCCUCCUGACCCUCCUCCAUCUCCUGACCCUCCUUUCCCUCCUAACCCUCCUCCCCCUCCUGACCCUCCUCCACCUCCGCCCCCUCCUUCUCCUUCUGCUCCCCGACCCUCUUCCAUCUCCUGACCCUCCUGACCCUCCUCCAUCUCCUCCCCCCUCCUGACCGUCCUCCAUCCCCUGCCUCUCCUCCUUCUCCUCACCCUCCUCCCCCUCCUGACCCUCCUCCCCC